rnacentral:lncRNA from 1 species
UUUCCAAAACUGUAACUCAUUAUCACAAACAGGAAAUUGGCAGUGAUACAAUAUACUGACCUUGCUGAGAUUUCCAUAGUUUUACUUGCACUGGUGUGGGUGUGUGUCUCCUUGGUCUGUUUCUGCCUCAGGCGUAAUUAACUACUGCACAUCAAGCCUUUAGAGGAGAACACUGGACUCUGCUUCAGAUAAAGGGGUAAAGAAGAAGACAGAUUGGACAUGCUCCUAAGCCCACAUAAUCGAACUGAUGAAGUCAGAAAAAACACACGCAUGUGGGUGUAUGAGCACAUACAACUCAGAAAGGAUGUUUACAUUUACUGCUUUCUUCUUCAGGUUUUGGUGGUGAUGGUGGUGGCAUUUAAGGACAUUUGGAAAUGGCAAUAUAAUAUUCCACAUAAAUAAUAUAGCCGGAUUGGCUCAUGUACCUGCACAAGUGCCCAGGGUUGCAUCACUUACAAAGGCUAUUGAUUUUAACAGCAAAUUCAAGUGUCUUAUACUUCAGAAGUGAAAAAAAAAUAUGACUGAGCAGGACUGCUAUCCCCUUCUUAGAGACCACAUUGAUUAAUCCCUGUCAACAUUUAUAGAUUUCACCUUAAACUCUGCCGAUUUUCCACAGCUAUUAGAUGCUAGGUCUUAAGAAGACAAAGAAUGGGGAGACUUUGACAUUGUCUUAAAUUAUGGUGACUCAGUUUGGAUUUUAACCAUUGUGUAAGAAACCGAAAAAAGGUGGAUAAAAAUGUCAAGAGAACUGGAGAAUGUUUUUAAUUAAAAUUUCAGCACUAUAGUACAUAACCAAGAUGUUCUAAUAUUUGAGAAUUGUAUGAAAUGCUAUAUAAAAAAGUGCCAUUGAUAUUAUCAUCUCUAAAUUAGGAGACGAAUAAGGACUUCCUGCAAAACGCAUUAAUAUAUCUGUAGAAAUAGAUUAUUUACCUCGUUACAUAAGAAAGUUACUUUUUACAACCUAAAUGUGUUUUACUUUUAACUUGUUAAUUUGGUGUUUGCUAACUUUUCAAUUUUAGAAAUUAGAUUUUUGGUUCCAGGUUAAAUUUUUUUCUCUUUAGUAAACAAAACCAACUGCUGAAAAAUUGUUGAAGCAAUUAUUUACUUAAUACAAUUAGAUCCAUAAACAUUGCCAUGAAAAAUCUUAUCUCUCUCUCUGCUGGCUAAAUCUUCCGGAAAUUAAAUUCUAAAAGCAGACAGAAAGACUUUCCAUUUAGGGGCAUGCUUUUGUUCGGUGCUUUAAUUCUCAUAAGAGAAUGACAAGCCUACCUUUAGCUCUGUGGAUUCCUAAAGGGCAUGGGUCUGCCCCUGAGUGACAUUACAGAGUAGCUGUGAGAGCUCCU